rnacentral:rRNA from 1 species
GUCUACAUCCAUGCCACCCCGAACAAGCCCGAUCCCUUCUGGUCUCGGAAGUUAAGCAGGGUCAGGCCUGAUUAGUACUUGAAUGGGAGACCACCUAGGAAGACCAGGUGCCGUAGGUG